rnacentral:tRNA from 1 species
CCUCCUUACAAAACAGCUUACGGAAGUAAGUGUCCACACAGUUUGCAGGCUUGAUAUGAAAAGAGAAGAAAACUGGGUCUGUAGCUCAGCUGGUUAGAGCGCACCCCUGAUAAGGGUGAGGUCGGCAGUUCAAGUCUGCCCAGACCCACCAUUUUGAGCGUCUGGGCUGCGUUGGAAAGCCACUCGCAUACUGGUGUAUGCGUCGCGCCUUUCCGCCUUGCCAGCCACUCAAAAUCCCUUAUCAAGGUUUAGCGAUUCCCGCUUGCGAUGUUUAAGCGCAACGAGAACGCUUCAAAACAAGGCGCAAGCCGACAUGAGUGAAGGAGCGUACGUUGGUACCUGACUGAACGAAUGAAGUGCAGUAACGCGGCACUGGAGUGUUAUCGCAAAGCCACGCACCAAAGGGGCCAUAGCUCAGCUGGGAAAGCGCCUGCCUUGCACGCAGGAGGUCAGCGGUUCGAUCCCGCUUGGCUCCCCAUUUCUUCUCUUCA